rnacentral:lncRNA from 1 species
UACAUGUGCAUUUCUCACUCAUACAGAGAGAAACAUCAUACAGCAAAAGAGAAAGCAGACGGACAUGCCCAUGGUAAGAACUACAUACUCUAUUCAGUUAUUUGAACAGAAUAUUGAUUUCUAACAUGAGCACUGGUAUAUUCUAAUACUUAGAACAAUGAACCUAGUAAACAUGUAGUAAUGAAAAAGCAAGAAAGAUAAUGAGUUGUCUUCUUUUAGACCAAAAUUCCAGCCGCAGGUUAUAGUAGGAAUGUCCCUCUUAGUUUCUUUACAAGACAUGCAUACAUGACAGGAGACUUGGAAAUUGUUAAGUGGAGAGGAAAAGGGAGAAAAUAAGCAUUAUGAAAGGCAGAGAGAGUGAGUACAGUAAGUAAAUGAAGAAAAAAGAAGACGUGGAGACAGAGAAAUUUCAUUCAUGUACCUGAAGAACAAGAGCAGCCUAUUCAAAAUGUGGAAAGAAAUGGGAGUUUCCAGUUGUGCACAU